CGGCAGCCCGAGUGGUGAUCACUAUUAUUGGGUCUAAAGGGUCCGUAGCCGGUUUGAUCAGUCUUUUGGGAAAUCUGACAGCUUAACUGUUAGGCUUCCAAAGGAUACUGUCAGACUUGGGACCGGGAGAGGUAAGAGGUACUACAGGGGUAGGAGUGAAAUCUUGUAAUCCCUGUGGGACCACCAGUGGCGAGGGCGUCUUACCAGAACGGGUCCGACGGUGAGGGACGAAAGCUGGGGGCACGAACCGGAUUAGAUACCCGAGUAGUCC
rnacentral:rRNA from 1 species